AAUUCGAAAGGAAAUUGCUGGUAGAAAAGUUUGCACGACAAAUCGAGGGGUAUUUUGUGAUUAAAAUAGUCCGAAUGAGCUUACUACAUAAAACUUGUAUUAUACAGAAUAAUAUGGUGUCCCAGUCUCCAUAUAUUCUACAUAGCAUACUUCGCACUUUUUCUCUAUUAUAUUUCUCUACACUUUGUUUACCUUAUGUGCUAUGUUAAUUUUAGUUACACU